AGAGUUUGAUCCUGGCUCAGGAUGAACGCUAGCUACAGGCUUAACACAUGCAAGUCGAGGGGCAGCAUGAACUUAGCUUGCUAAGUUUGAUGGCGACCGGCGCACGGGUGAGUAACACGUAUCCAACCUGCCGAUGACUCGGGGAUAGCCUUUCGAAAGAAAGAUUAAUACCCGAUGGCAUAAUUCUUCCGCAUGGUAGAAUUAUUAAAGAAUUUCGGUCAUCGAUGGGGAUGCGUUCCAUUAGGUUGUUGGCGGGGUAACGGCCACCAAGCCUUCGAUGGAUAGGGGUUCUGAGAGGAAGGCCCCCCACAUUGGAACUGAGACACGGUCCAAACUCCUACGGGAGGCA
rnacentral:rRNA from 1 species